GUAACAAGGUUUCCGUAGGUGAACCUGCGGAAGGAUCAUUACAGAGCGUGAGACUCUGCCCGGGCUUGCCCCGCGCGCAGAGUUGACCCUCCACCCGUGUUGACUUAUCUCAUGUUGCUUUGGCGGGCCAGGUGCCUCGCGCGCCGGCCGGCUCUGUGCUGCUCGUGUCCGCCAAAGACCCAACCUAACUCGUGUUGUCGUGUAGUCUGAGGAAAACUAUUUGAAUUGUUAAAACUUUCAACAACGGAUCUCUUGGCUCUGGCAUCGAUGAAGAACGCAGCGAAAUGCGAUACGUAAUGUGAAUUGCAGAAUUUAGUGAACAUCGAAUCUUUGAACGCACAUUGCGCCCCUUGGCAUUCCGAGGGGCAUGCCUUCGAGCGUCGUCACACCCCCUCAAGCCGCGCCGUGUGUGUGGUUUGGUGUUGGGGCUCGCCCGUCGGGCGGCCCUUAAAGACAGUGGCGGUGCCGUGGUGGUCUCUACGCGUAGUACGAUUCUCGCGACAGAGCUGCUGUGGCCGCUUGCCAAUCAAUCCAUCAUCUCAAGGUUGACCU
rnacentral:rRNA from 1 species